rnacentral:rRNA from 1 species
UACGUAGGGUGCGAGCGUUGUCCGGAAUUAUUGGGCGUAAAGAGCUCGUAGGCGGUGUGUCGCGUCGGCCGUGAAAACCUGGGGCUCAACUCUGGGCGUGCGGUCGAUACGGGCAUCACUAGAGUUCGGCAGGGGAGACUGGAAUUCCUGGUGUAGCGGUGAAAUGCGCAGAUAUCAGGAGGAACACCGAUGGCGAAGGCAGUUCUCUGGGCCGUAACUGACGCUGAGGAGCGAAAGCGUGGGGAGCGAACAGG